rnacentral:tRNA from 2 species
AGGCGUGUAGUUCAAUGGUAGAACAAUAGUCUCCAAAACUAUGUGUUGUGGGUUCGAUUCCUAUCACGCCUGCCA